rnacentral:lncRNA from 1 species
UCUAGGCCGAGGUUUGCAGCAGCUAGAAGCUUCUGGGGCAACUCUAUUGACCACUGUGUCUAAAACUCACCUCUGCAGUUUGGAAGACAAUAACUUAGGACACAAAAGGCUUCCAAGUCCCCACAAGGCUUUCUUUUUCACCUGGAAGAAUGGAAAAUACAGAAUUCGAGAAAAGGAAGCUGAAUCAAAGUGCAUCAGGCCCUUGAAUGCAGAAGGAAGCCAAGACGUGCACACAGGGCUG